rnacentral:rRNA from 1 species
CCUACGGGAGGCUGCAGUGGGGAAUAUUGGACAAUGGGGGGAACCCUGAUCCAGCCAUGCCGCGUGUGUGAAGAAGGCCCUCGGGUUGUAAAGCACUUUCAGUGAGGAAGAACGCCUGGUGGUUAAUACCCAUCAGGAAAGACAUCACUCACAGAAGAAGCACCGGCUAACUCCGUGCCAGCAGCCGCGGUAAUACGGAGGGUGCGAGCGUUAAUCGGAAUUACUGGGCGGAAAGCGCGCGUAGGUGGCUUGAUAAGCCGGUUGUGAAAGCCCCGGGCUCAACCUGGGAACGGCAUCCGGAACUGUCAAGCUAGAGUGCAGGAGAGGAAGGUAGAAUUCCCGGUGUAGCGGUGAAAUGCGUAGAGAUCGGGAGGAAUACCAGUGGCGAAGGCGGCCUUCUGGACUGACACUGACACUGAGGUGCGAAAGCGUGGGUAGCAAACAGGAUUAGAUACCCCGGUAGUC